UUCGUGGAGGGUUCGAUUCUGGCUCAGGAUGAACGCUGGCGGCGUGCUUAACACAUGCAAGUCGAACGGGAUCUGACCAGCUUGCUGGUUGGUGAGAGUGGCGAACGGGUGAGUAAUGCGUGACCAACCUGCCCCAUGCUCCAGAAUAGCUCUUGGAAACGGGUGGUAAUGCUGGAUGCUCCAACUUGACGCAUGUCUUGUUGGGAAAGUGUUUAGUG
rnacentral:rRNA from 1 species